UGAUCCUGCCAGUAGUCAUAUGCUUGUUUCAAUGAUUAAGCCAUGCAUGUCUAAGUAUCAGUAGGAUAAGUGCAACUCUGCGUAUGGCUCAUUAUAUCGGUUGUAAUAAAUUUGGAGAUGUUAAAAUGGAUAUCCUUGGAAAUACCAGGGCUAAUACAUGACUGUGCAAACAUUGGUGCAUUUCGGUGUACAAGUUUUUAAAAGGCAGAAAUAUAUUAUUGCUGAAUCAUUUUAACGUUACGAAUCGCAUACUUCACGUGGCGAUGUAUCUUUGAAGCUUCUGCCCUAUCAGCUUUCGAUGGUAGUGUCUUGGACUACCAUGGCAGUGACGGGUAACAGAGGAUCAGGGUUCGACUGUGGAGAGGGAGCCUGAGAAACGUCUACCAUGUCUAAGGACAGCAGCAGGCGCGCAAAUUGUCCAAUGCUAACACGAGCGAGGCAGCGACGAGAACUAUUUACUUCGUUACACUUUGCUAUGAUCUGGAUAGAAAUGGAUGGCAUCCAAAACCACCACUGAGGUUCGAUCGGAGGGCAAGUC
rnacentral:rRNA from 1 species